CCUACGGGAGGCAGCAGUGGGGAAUAUUGCACAAUGGGGGAAACCCUGAUGCAGCGACGCCGCGUGAGUGAAGAAGUAUCUCGGUACGUAAAGCUCUAUCAGCAGGGAAGUAAAUGACGGUACCUGACUAAGAUGCCACGGCUAACUACGUGCCAGCAGCCGCGGUAAUACGUAGGGGGCCAGCGUUAUCCGGAUUUACUGGGUGUUAAGGGAGCGUAGAGGGCAGCACAAGUCUGGAGUGAAAUCCCGGGGCUUAACCCCGGAACUGCUUUGGAAACUGUGAGGCUGGAGUGCAGGAGGGGUAAGCGGAAUUCCUAGUGUAGCGGUGAAAUGCGUAGAUAUUAGGAGGAACACCGGUGGCGAAGGCGGCUUACUGGACUGUAACUGACGUUGAGGCUCGAAAGUGUGGGGAGCAAACAGGAUUAGAUACCCCGGUAGUC
rnacentral:rRNA from 1 species